rnacentral:lncRNA from 1 species
GAAAAGGCUCUGAAACAGAUCCAAGAUGUUGUUUGAGCCAUGCAACUAGAAGAUCUCAUAGAACUAAAGUUAUCUAAUUUACAGAAAAGGUUUUACGUGACGUCUAUUGUACAGAUUCAUAUGAAAACCAUAGUUCAAACUCCAAGGUUUAAGAAGUAAGAAAGAUCAUGCCAUUUGCAACAAACAUGCAUGCAUAUUUGAAAAGCAACUAAAUUGUGACCAAUAAGAAUCCCAGAGAAGUUCUGCCCUAAUGGAGUCAACUUGAUUUGAGAUGCAAAUAGAUUUGCGCAAUUGAAAAAGUGGGAAGAUGAAGUGUUUGGAGGGCUUUUAAAUGGAGUAAAAUGGAAACAAAGACAAGUUAUCCCAACACCAAAAAGAGUAGGGGAUAGAAGGAUAUGUCAAGGUUUGAAAACCAUCCUUCAGAAAUGCAGGAAAGUCAAAGCUAGAAAUUUCUUUUAUGGUACCCAGGAUUUGUUUUAAUUAAGUUUGAUAAGGCACACAGGCACGAACGUGAUUGUGGUUAAUAAAGGCAUUUGCAUUAUUCUCACGGUCUCCUAAAAAUAGAAGGCCCAGCACACUAUGCCUGGGAAGUAUCUGCAUGAGAUGAGCAGGCAGAGAGGAGAGCUGAGGGCAGGGCCUUGACUGGAGUUUUUGUUGGGAGGAAUGGACAAUGGAAAGCACGCAAGCCAAAUCUGUUGUGGGAAAACUAGAAGACCAAAAAAAGCACGAAAGUCAAGAAAGAAGUCUCUUUUCACAUGAAAGUGGCCUGAAGACAAAUACUGCUAUGAAUGGUUACAUCUAGGACUUCUGAAAUUAGCCCCAGAUUCAACUCAUUUUUUUCUGCAUUUGCUGAGCAAUAUGACAUGUUUACACCGAUUAGCUAAAAAGUUAUGUGAAGAAUGGGCAACAAUAUCUCUAAGUAACUAGGAGACCAUGUCCCUUGGCAUAAGUAUUGAUCUUCAAUAAUUUGUCCUUGAUAUUGAGAGAAGAGGAUCAAACUAUUUGAACCGGAUUGCUGUACUUCAACAUGUAAAGUGAAAAUGCAGACCCAGUUGACUAUAUUUCACUCAUUUGGGCCAAAGAAGCAGAAGUUUAUUAACAAAGAAGGAGAAUAACAAAAGAAAUAUAAGAUGGAAAGAAAAGCAAAAAGAAAGAAAACUAAAGAAAAAGCAAAAGAAAGAAUACUAAAUCUGAAAUACAUUUUCGUCCCCAAAUCAAGUUGGUGCAUAAAGUUCAAAUGUUUUCCUGA